GACGAACGCUGGCGGCGUGCCUAACACAUGCAAGUCGAACGGAGAAUUUAGCAAUGAAUUCUUAGUGGCGAACGGGUGAGUAACGCGUAGACAACCUGCCUUUUAGAUGGGGACAACACCGCGAAAGUGGUGCUAAUACCGAAUGUUGCAUUUUGAUCGCAUGAUUGAGAUACUAAAGAUGGCCUCUCUUUAUAAGCUAUCGCUAAAAGAUGGGUCUGCGUCUGAUUAGCUAGUUGGUGAGGUAAUGGCUCAACAAGGCGACGAGCAGUAGCCGGUCUGAGAGGAUGAACGGCCACACUGGGACUGAGACACGGCCCAGACUCCUACGGGAGGCAGCAGUGGGGAAUCUUCCGCAAUGGACGAAAGUCUGACGGAGCAACGCCGCGUGAGUGAAGAAGGUUUUCGGAUCGUAAAACUCUGUUUUCAGGGACGAAUGUGCAGAUUGUGAAUAAUGAUUUGUAAUGACGGUACCUGAGUAGAAAGCCACGGCUAACUACGUGCCAGCAGCCGCCGUAA
rnacentral:rRNA from 1 species